GAAACGGGUUAAUAUUCCCGUACUUCUUACAAUUGCGAUGGGGGGGACGGAGAAGGCUAGGUGGGCCUGGCGACGGUUGUCCAGGUUCAAGUGCGUAGGCUUAAGAGUUAGGUAAAUCCGGCUCUUUCUAAGGCUGAGACACGACGUCGAGCACCUACGGGUGUGAAGUCAUUGAUGCCAUGCUUCCAGGAAAAGCCUCUAAGCUUCAGAUUGUAAGGAAUCGUACCCCAAACCGACACAGGUGGUCGGGUAG
rnacentral:rRNA from 1 species